UGAGUACGAGAUGCUACGGCAUCGAAGCAGUCUAUGUCAUACUUCCAAGAAAAGCUUGCACUGUCAGAAACAGAUAAUGCCUGUACCAUAACCGACACAGGUGGGUAGGUAGAGUAUACUAAGGGGCGCGAGAUAACUCUCUCUAAGGAACUCGGCAAAAUGACUCCGUAACUUCGGGAGAAGGAGUGCCUUAUUUUUAAGGUUGCAAUAACAAGAUCCAAGCAACUGUUUACCAAAAACACAGGUCUCCGCUAAGUCGUAAGACGAUGUAUGGGGCUGACGCCUGCCCAGUGCCAGAAGGUUAAAGAAGUCGGUUAGCAUUCGCGAAGCUGGUAACUGAAGCCCUGGUGAACGGCGGCCGUAACGAUAACGGUCCUAAGGUAGCGAAAUUCCUUGUCGGGUAAGUUCCGACCCGCACGAAAGGCGUAAUGAUUUGGAUACUGUCUCGGAGAGGGGCUCGGUGAAAUAGACUUGUCUGUGAAGAUGCGGACUACCUGCACCUGGACAGAAAGACCCUAUGAAGCUUUACUGUAACUUGAAAUUGAAAUUGGACUUUAUUUGCGCAGUAUAGGUGGGAGGCGUUGAAAAUAUUCUUGCGGGAAUAUUGGAGCCAUCAGUGAGAUACCACUCUUGUAAUGUUAGAUUUCUAACUUUAUAUCAUUAUCUGGUUAAAGAACAGUUUCAGGCGGGCAGUUUGACUGGGGCGGUCGCCUCCCAAAUGGUAACGGAGGCGCACAAAGGUUUCCUCUGAACGGGUAGAAAUCGUAUCUAGAGUGUAAAGGCAUAAGGAAGCUUGACUGUGAGACCUACAAGUCGAGCAGGGACGAAAGUCGGUCUUAGUGAUCUGACGGUGCUGAGUGGAAAGGCCGUCACUCAACGGAUAAAAGUUACUCUAGGAUAACAGGCUGAUCUCCCCCAAGAGUUCACAUCGACGGGGAGGUUUGGCACCUCGAUGUCGGCUCAUCGCAUCCUGGGGCGGUAGUACGUCCCAAGGGUUGGGCUGUUCGCCCAUGAAAGCGGUACGCGAGCUGGGUUCAGAACGUCGUGAGACAGUUCGGUCCAUAUCCGGUGUAGGCGUUAGAAUAUUGAGAGGAGCCUUCUUUAGUACGAGAGGACCGAGAAGAACAUACCUCUGGUGUACCAGUUAUCGUGCCAACGGUAAACGCUGGGUAGCUAUGUAUGGAGUGGAUAACCGCUGAAAGCAUCUAAGUGGGAAGCCCACCUCAAGAUAAGUAUUCUCAGC
rnacentral:rRNA from 1 species